UGGUAGUGGCAGGCUCGUUAGCCUCUAGCGAUUAGACAGGCGAGCCAAGCCUGACUGCUACUGCUCUGGUCCUCUCGCCCGACUCACAUGGAUAGAUGUGUAUAUCAUGAAUAGCACUGUGGAUGUGGUGCAGCGUUCAUCUAGGCAGCCUCUCCCUUCCUUCUCUCCUUCCUACAUGCAUGUAGGUCGCCAGCCAUGUCUUGCUCCUCCUUGCUCGGUCGUCGCCUCGCACCUCUACACGCAUUCACAGAACCAUCUGCAUCUCGCCGUGUCGAUGGAUGGUGCAAUGCAGCGAGGUUCUUCUAGCGGAAGAUCGCUCCAAUGGCUGGAGCUGCUUGCCUGGCUCCCUGAAUGCCAUCUGAGAAGCACGCCGCUGUGGUCGGCAUGCAUCCUGGAUGGCGUUGAGGGAGUCAUGCAGGCCGGGGAAGUUUACUUGCCAUUCACCUCCCGCCUAGGCUUUCAUGCUGCACUGCCUCUUCUUCUUCAGGUGCGUUCUACACAAGCACGUCUCGCGACCACUGACAUUUUCUGGCACAACCCAAUUUGUUGUCUUCAGAAAACAUAGAUACAAGAUCUGGCAGGUUUUCGAUGUUUGCAUUGCGGGAAAAAUGAAGAAAUUCGUCCCACCUUUGUACCUC